CCAUUCACACGCACGGUCCUCUCCCUUUUUCUUUUCUCUCACUUUCCAUUUCUCUCUUCUUCCUCUCCUCUUCUUCACAUGGCUGAGAGAGACCGAAAAUGAGAGCUUCUGAGAGAGAGAAAACUUGCAGAGAUUGAGAGAGUGAUCGCUGAGAGUUCGUGAGGGAGAUGGAGAGGCCGUGAUGGAGACAACCCGUGAGAGAAGAACCAGGAACCCGUAGCAGAUCCAACCGACUGGAGUGUUGGGUUUGGCCGAUCGCCGGUGGGUCGACCCCUGUGGAGCGUGGGUCACGAUUUCCGGCGACUCUGUGACGAAUUUCGGCGGUUUCUCCGGUGGAUUUCUCUGCUGUUCAACAGGGAAUUCCUAAGUUUGAAAUAAACAUGCACGUCUUUGAGUAGAGCACAGAGGGAAAACCUGUAGCCACCCCUAAAUUUGCAGAACGAGACUGGAUUAUCAAAGCAAAGGAUAUGCUCCAGCAACUGUUUCUCUGCCAAGCUUCACGCAGUCGGUGCCCAUCAAGAACUGCAUUAGUAGCUGCAGUUUCUGCACCACACGGGUCUGCAGAAACUGCAGUUUCUACAGAAUGCAGUAAAACGAGCAAACGCGGCGGUCAAACAGAGGACGUGGAACGCCAACCACCCAGUCGGUCACGACGUGUCUCAUGCAUGUCCUGUUCUUGAUAUUGGUUUGCUACCUAGAAUUGGCAACGUGGACGUCCAGCAAUAUCACAUGCGUCGUAGGGGUCUCUUUCCAGUCUAUGCGUGCCAUAACAAGGUUUGGUGCCGACAGUAAACCUGUAGAAGAUGUGACCAAUCUAACGGCCUAUAGGAUGCUGCCGUUCGGUGCCGGGAGGAGAACGGAUUAUAGUUAUUUAUACAUGUCAAUUUUUGGAAGUGGAGGAUUUUAAAAAUUAUCAUCAUACAAUAUGAUGUUCAUAUGAGCUGGAAACAACCUAAAAACGAAGUGAUAUGCAUUAUAAAUUUGCAA